AGUUUGAUGUUCGUGAAUGUUUCUCCUCGCGAGGACUCUUUCCAGGAAACCCUAUGUUCACUUCGAUUUGCCACUCAGGUAAACAAUUGUAAUAUUGGUACUGCUCAAAAAGUGAAGAAGUGAUUUCUCAAGGCUAACUUUGUAGAUAAAUAAAAAUUAUUUGCGCGGAUUUGCGUUGCAGUUUUAUUGAUGUAUAUCAUUAGAAUGAUAAUAUAAGAAUUUGAGAACUACUUCUUCAUAGGAAUAAUAGCGUUAUAAAGUAUUAAAUGAUAAUUCAAUGUGCACAAGACAAUGUCUCAGUUCAUAUAACGCUACAUUCUGGGUCUCAUAUAAACUUAUAUUGCUGGCGGUGAAAAAUUGAUAUGAGUAGUUUAGCACCUUUUGUUAUAACAUCAGACUAGCACGCUAGUAGCAAAGAUUAAAACAGUUUGAAAUGUU